CCUGCCCCUAGCGCUAUUGCACGUGUGGCUGCAGUGUCACGUCUGCAUCAGUAGGUGGCAGAGAGGAGAGAGGUCAUGUCUACUCACGGUGUUAGGACCUGGGUACAUCCAAGUGAUUAGUAGCCUGAUUAU